rnacentral:lncRNA from 1 species
UGGAUGAAACCAGGGAAUGUGGUUGGCAAGUGACUGUCAUGCUUGGAAUACUGCGUGUUUCUGAAAAGGAGAGAUUCUUCUUUCAGAGAUGUGUGAGAAAUAAAACUGAUCAUUCUCCAUUAACAGCUGGAGGGUUUUCUUAAAAAUAUUCAUCUGAUUUAUGAUUUAGAGUGUUUAGAAGGAUUAGGAUACUCUACUGUUUCAUGACAUUCUUUGGCUUCCCAUUGCCUAUAGAAGCACCUUGCCUUGUCCUUGAAUUACCUGGUUAAUCCUUCUACAGCCUCUAACUCUCCAAGCACACCUUGAGCCUCUCACCUGCCCCUCACUAUGCAUCUGCCAUGUUGAGAUUUAUCAUCUGUCCUUACGGCUGUUAAAGCCUUGUCUCACCACAGCACUGUUGCUUCCCUCUCUCUAAAAACUGACCCUCAUCUUCUUUGGUGGCUGUUUUCCUCUAACUUCUGGUCCUUAGAUGAGGAGAUUGUGUCAUUACGGCAUACAACCCUCCAUAACUCUAUUCAAUGAUUCUUCUACUUUUGCCAUCAUUCUCUACAUCAAAAACUUCUUUUUUUUAAAUUAUAGUUGAUUUAUACUGUUGUAUCAAUUUCUGCUGGACAGCUUAGUGACCCUAUUUUCCAUAAGGGUCUAUCACCAAAGAUUGAAUAUAGUCCAAUCCCUGGGGCCAGAUUGACAUGCAGAAAUCUAGAUCACAGUAUAACCAUUUCAUCAUUGUUUCCUGCACUGUGAUCUGUACCUCAAUUACAGAAUGGCUACACGUGAUAUCACCCAACAGAGUCCUAUGCUUCUCAAGAUGCAGUGCUUUUCUUCCCCUCCCCACUGGAAAACUUAUUUUUACAACUGAAGUCGUUUUUGGUGGCCAUUGGUAUCCUCGAGCAGUGUCACAAUGUAAAUGAAAAGCAAGACUUGGUUCCUGGAAAUAAUUCCUAACUUAGGAAGAUCCUCUGCUCUGAGGUAGCCAAAAUGACAUCCGUUACCUCCUGGGGUUCUGAUACUUCCUGGAUUGUUGUUGCCCUUUUUCAAAAAUGUAUUAUUGUUAUUAUUAUUAUUGCUGUUAUUAUUAUUAUUUUUCUUUUUAGGGUGGUGCCUAUGACAUAUGGAAGUUGCUGGGCUAGGGGUUGAAUCAUAGCUGCAGCUGCCAGCCUACACCAUAGCCACAGCAACAUGGGAUCCUAGCCAAAUCUGUGACCUCUGCUGCAGUUCAUGGCAAUGAGAGAUCCUUAAUCCACUGAGCAAGGCCAGGAAUUGAACUGUAUCCUCAUGGGUACUAGUCGGGUUCUUAACCUGUGAAGCCACCAUGGGAACUCCAGCUUUUGCCAUUUUUAUUGUUUAUUUCUCAUCCAUAACUAUUUUAGCACCUCCCCCAUUAAUCUGUUGUCUUUCACUUAAACUCCUUUUCAUAGGUUUGAUAUUUAAAUAUUUGCUUAUGCCCUGGAUUAAA